ACGGUUGCUAAAUCCAUUAUUGCUGAGUAAAAAGCUUGCAGCUCCCUUGAACUUCACCAUAUGUCAGUGCACCACAAAUGAAGGACAAAUUACAUUGAUGAGUUACCUCACCUUAUAAUAAAAUGAUGUGCAGGUAUUCUAGAAAAAAAAAAUCAGUAUGAAACAUUCCCGCUAAACAGCCUAAAUGGCAAACCAUACGUAUUGACUGAAGCACGAGCGACCUAGCGAUCUCAACUAUGGACUCUGAUCCAUCACUCUGCUUCUUGGCCAGAGGGGAGGUUGGGGACGAUGUCGUGUGCUGGAACAUGCAGUUGUUUCUCUCCUUCCUGACCAUGCAGGUCGAGAGCAAGAUGACACAUAUUGGUGUUUAACCAGCUCAAUCUCUUUGCUCUCUUGCAGCUGCAUUUAGAGAAAUAUGAAAUCUAUCCAGCAACGCAAGAAGCUUAUCGUUGUUUUCAAGUGGCUUUCAAAAAAUUAUCUGUACCAACGAUGUGGACCAGAAAACACGAGUGCACAUUGAAAUGAAUAACUCCAUAUGGAUACGAAUGCAUGUAGUAUCAUAGUAAAUCCAUGUUGCAUCAGAGUAAAUUGUGUGAUGUGCAGUAUUGUUCAUUCUUUACAAUAGGUGUUCAUGUGGACCAUGUUUCUUUAGAGUAUUUUAGUAGUUUG
rnacentral:lncRNA from 7 species